rnacentral:precursor_RNA from 14 species
CACACAUGUAGUACAAUGCGUCCCUUCUGUUGGAACGGAAAUCUCGCCUAAUCGUGAUUCAAAUCCCAGAUCGGUGGGACUUUCGUUCGUUUGGAAGGGAUGAUCAGACGGCCAGAGAAUCA